rnacentral:rRNA from 1 species
CAGGCCUAACACAUGCAAGUCGAACGAGAAAGGGGAGCAAUCCCUGAGUAAAGUGGCGACCGGGUGAGUAACACGUGACUAACCUACCCUUGAGUGGGGGAUAACCUCGGGAAACCGGGGCUAAUACCGCAUAAAAUCGUAAGAUCAAAGGAGUAAUCCGCUUUUGGAGGGGGUCGCGGCUGAUUAGCUAGUUGGCGGGGUAACGGCCCACCAAGGCGAAGAUCGGUAGCCGGCCUGAGAGGACGACCAGCCACACUGGGACUGAGACACGGCCCAGACUCCUACGGGAGGCAGCAGUGAGGAAUUUUCCGCAAUGGGCGAAAGCCUGACGGAGCGACGCCGCGUGCACGAGGAAGGUCUUCGGAUCGUAAAGUGCUGUCGAGGGGGACGAUUAUGACGGUACCCCUGGAGGAAGCCCCGGCUAACUACGUGCCAGCAGCCGCGGUAAUACA